UGGUCCAGGCUUUUGAGAAAAGAGCCAGCAGCCUCUGGUCUUGUUGACACCAUCAUCUGAGAGUGGCAGGCCACCAGAGGGAAGGGCUAAGGACAGAGCCAGAUCUGGCUGGGCCAUCUCACCUUCUGGAGGCCGAACUUGACCCGGGAUGGAAAUAAUGAAGCAGCCACUGGCUUUCCCAAGGCCUGUGAUCCUCCUGGUAACCAGAAAUCCCAAGUUCUUAUCUGCUGCUCUUCCA
rnacentral:lncRNA from 1 species